CGCCUAAGGAUAGAUCUGCGGCUGAUUAGGUCGUUGGUGGGGUAAUGGCCCACCAAGCCGAUGAUCGGUACGGGUUGUGAGAGCAAGAGCCCGGAGAUGGAACCUGAGACAAGGUUCCAGACCCUACGGGGUGCAGCAGGCGCGAAACCUCCGCAAUGUACGAAAGUGCGACGGGGGGAUCCCAAGUGUCAUGCUUUUUUGUAUGACUUUUCAUUAGUGUAAAAAGCUUUUAGAAUAAGAGCUGGGCAAGACCGGUGCCAGCCGCCGCGGUAACACCGGCAGCUCGAGUGGUAGCUGUUUUUAUUGGGCCUAAAGCGUUCGUAGCCGGUUUGAUAAGUCUUUGGUGAAAGCUUGUAGCUUAACUAUAAGAAUUGCUGGAGAUACUAUUAGACUUGAAGUCGGGAGAGGUUAGAGGUACUACCGGGGUAGGGGUGAAAUCCUAUAAUCCUGGGAGGACCACCUGUGGCGAAGGCGUCUAACUGGAACGAUCUUGACGGUGAGUAACGAAAGCCAGGGGCGCGAACCGGAUUAGAUACCCGGGUAGUCCUGGCCGUAAACGAUGUGGACUUGGUGUUGGAAUGGCUUUGAGUUGUUCCUGUGCCGAAGGGAAGCUGUUAAGUCCACCGCCUGGGAAGUACGGUCGCAAGACUGAAACUUAA
rnacentral:rRNA from 1 species